rnacentral:miRNA from 1 species
CCUGGGCAUGGGCUAUGAAACA